rnacentral:rRNA from 1 species
UCGUGGGGCAGCAGGGCUGUAGCAAUACAGUCGCUGGCGACCGGCAAACGGGUGCGGAACACGUACGCAACUUACCUUGAACAGGGGAAUAGCCCGGGGAAACCCGGAUUAAUACCCCGUAAGCUUUUGGAGUGGCAUCACUUUGAAAGGAAAGCCCGCAAGGGUGGUUUAGGAUGGGCGUGCGGCUGAUUAGGUAGUUGGUAGGGGUAACGGCCCACCAAGCCAACGAUCAGUAACUGGUGUGAGAGCACGACCAGUCACACGGGCACUGAGACACGGGCCCGACUCCUACGGGAGGCAGCAGUAAGGAAUAUGGGUCAAUGGGCGCAAGCCUGAACCAGCCAUGCCGCGUGAAGGAUGAAGGUCCUCUGGAUUGUAAACUUCUUUUAUCUGGGACGAAACCCCCGAAUUCAUUCGGGACUGACGGUACCAGAGGAAUCAGCACCGGCUAACUCCGUGCCAGCAGCCGCGGUAAUACGGAGGGUGCAAGCGUUAUCCGGAUUCACUGGGUUUAAAGGGUGCGUAGGCGGGCCUGUAAGUCAGUGGUGAAAUCCUGGGGCUUAACCCCAGAACUGCCGUUGAUACUAUAGGUCUUGAAUGUUGUGGAGGUGAGCGGAAUAUGUCAUGUAGCGGUGAAAUGCUUAGAGAUGACAUAGAACACCAAUUGCGAAGGCAGCUCACUACGCAACGAUUGACGCUGAGGCACGAAAGCGUGGGGAUCAAACAGGAUUAGAUACCCUGGUAGUCCACGCCCUAAACGAUGGAUACUCGACAUACGUGAUAUGACAAUGUGUGUCUGA